GCCUGCUGAAAUAUGAAGACCCAGCAUGAAAGCCUGCAGCUAACUUAAGGUUGGCAUUUCGAAUAGGACUACCUACUCUCCAUAGAGUGACUUGUACACUGGAUGACAGAGAACUACACUGUGCUUUUGCCAGCCAUGACAGCCACAUCCCACUUAGUUCCACAAAGAGAAUGCCUACAUGUCUUUGGUGAGCUCACUCAGGUAAAUGGAUGGAACUGGAGAACAUCUUCUUAAGUGAAGUUAGCCAGGCU